rnacentral:rRNA from 1 species
CCUACGGGAGGCAGCAGUGGGGAAUCUUGGGCAAUGGGCGAAAGCCUGACCCAGCAAUGCCGCGUGAAUGAAGAAGGUCUUCGGAUCGUAAAACUCUGUUCUAUGGGAAGAAAAAAAUGACGGUACCAUAGGAGGAAGCUCCGGCUAACUACGCGCCAGCAGCCGCGGUAAUACGUAGGGGGCGAGCGUUGUCCGGAUUUACUGGGCGUAAAGGGAGCGUAGGCGGCACUACAAGUCUCAUGUGAAGUACCCGGGCUUAACUGGGGGGUUGCAUGGGAAACUGUAGGGCUUGAGUACAGGAGAGGCGAGCGGAAUUCCUAGUGUAGCGGUGAAAUGCAUAGAUAUUAGGAGGAACACCAGGGGCGAAGGCGGCUUGCUGGACUGAAACUGACGCUGAGGCUCGAAAGCGUGGGGAGCAAACAGGAUUAGAUACCCUGGUAGUC